UGGGGAAUAUUGGACAAUGGGCGAAAGCCUGAUCCAGCCAUGCCGCGUGAGUGAUGAAGGCCAUAGGGUUGUAAAGCUCUUUUGUGCGGGAAGAUAAUGACGGUACCGCAAGAAUAAGCCCCGGCUAACUUCGUGCCAGCAGCCGCGGUAAUACGAAGGGGGCUAGCGUUGCUCGGAAUCACUGGGCGUAAAGGGUGCGUAGGCGGGUUUCUAAGUCAGAGGUGAAAGCCUGGAGCUCAACUCCAGAACUGCCUUUGAUACUGGAAGUCUUGAGUUCGGGAGAGGUGAGUGGAACUGCGAGUGUAGAGGUGAAAUUCGUAGAUAUUCGCAAGAACACCAGUGGCGAAGGCGGCUCACUGGCCCGAUACUGACGCUGAGGCACGAAAGCGUGGGGAGCAAAC
rnacentral:rRNA from 1 species